CGUUGUUCGGAUUCACUGGGCGUAAAGGGGGCGUAGGUGGUGAGGUAAGUCGGAUGUGAAAGCUCGGAGCUCAACUCCGAAAUGGCAUUGGAAACUACCUUGCUCGAGGGUUGGAGGGGGGACUGGAAUGCUUGGUGUAGCAGUGAAAUGCGUAGAUAUCAAGCGGAACACCAGUGGCGAAGGCGAGUCCCUGGACAACUCCUGACACUGAGGCACGAAAGCUAGGGGAGCAAACAGG
rnacentral:rRNA from 1 species